GAAUUGGUACAUCCAUCUUUGUUCCAUAUUAUCGUAACAAAAUCAAUACAAGUUGGAAUGGAAUCCAUACAGCAGAGAGAAGAUGAAGAAGAUGGCAGAGAUUUUUGACUUCGUGAUUUUUAAUUUCGUUCCAUACGAUGAAGAAGUUCUGAAAUUCAAUUGAAGAAAAAAACAUAAUGGAUGAUGAAGACAUUGUUGCCAGGCAUGUGAUUUCAGAAGCACAAAAGAAGAAGAAGAAGAAUAUGGCAAAGAGAGGAAGAAGAUGGAAAC
rnacentral:lncRNA from 1 species